GACGAACGCUGGCGGCGUGCUUAACACAUGCAAGUCGAACGGAAAGGCCCUGCUUUUGUGGGGUGCUCGAGUGGCGAACGGGUGAGUAACACGUGAGUAACCUGCCCUUGACUUUGGGAUAACUUCAGGAAACUGGGGCUAAUACCGGAUAGGAGCUCCUGCUGCAUGGUGGGGGUUGGAAAGUUUCGGCGGUUGGGGAUGGACUCGCGGCUUAUCAGCUUGUUGGUGGGGUAGUGGCUUACCAAGGCUUUGACGGGUAGCCGGCCUGAGAGGGUGACCGGCCAAAUUGGGACUGAGAUACGGCCCAGACUCCUACGGGAGGCAGCAGUGGGGGAUAUUGCACAAUGGGCGGAAGCCUGAUGCAGCAACGGCGCGUGCGGGAUGACGGCCUUCGGGUUGGAAACCGCUUUCGCCUGUGACGAAGCGUGAGUGACGGUAAUGGGUAAAGGAGCAACGGCUAAAUACGUG
rnacentral:rRNA from 1 species